rnacentral:rRNA from 1 species
UACGUAGGGGGCAAGCGUUGUCCGGAUUUAUUGGGCGUAAAGAGCGUGUAGGCGGCCUUACAGGUCAGCUGUGAAAACUCGAGGCUCAACCUCGAGACGUCGGUUGAAACCGUAAGGCUAGAGUCCGGAAGAGGAGAGUGGAAUUCCCGGUGUAGCGGUGAAAUGCGCAGAUAUCGGGAAGAACACCCGUGGCGAAAGCGGCGCGCUGGACCUCUUCUGACGCUGAGGCGCGAAAGCCAGGGGAGCAAACGGG